rnacentral:rRNA from 1 species
AUGCACGCUGGCGGCGUGCCUAACACAUGCCAGUCGAACGAAGCACCUUACCUGAUUCUUCGGAUGAAAGUUUGGUGACUGAGUGGCGGACGGGUGAGUAACGCGUGGGUAACCUGCCCUGUACAGGGGGAUAACAGCUGGAAACGGCUGCUAAUACCGCAUAAGCGCACGAGGAGACAUCUCCUUGUGUGAAAAACUCCGGUGGUACAGGAUGGGCCCGCGUCUGAUUAGCUGGUUGGCAGGGUAACGGCCUACCAAGGCAACGAUCAGUAGCCGGUCUGAGAGGAUGAACGGCCACAUUGGAACUGAGACACGGUCCAAACUCCUACGGGAGGCAGCAGUGGGGAAUAUUGCACAAUGGGGGAAACCCUGAUGCAGCAACGCCGCGUGAGUGAAGAAGUAUUUCGGUAUGUAAAGCUCUAUCAGCAGGGAAGAUAAUGACGGUACCUGACUAAGAAGCUCCGGCUAAAUACGUG